rnacentral:tRNA from 2 species
GCCCGUGUAGCUCAGUUGGCAGAGCGGUUCAUUCGUAAUGAACAGGUCCGGGGUUCAAUUCCCCGCGCGGGCUCCG